rnacentral:rRNA from 1 species
CAAUAGCGUAUAUUAAAGUUGUUGCAGUUAAAAAGCUCGUAGUUGGAUAUCUGUUUUGAAUAUCCGGUCCGUCUCAUUGAGAUGCGUACUAUGGAUGUUUGAAUCAUUUUUUGUGAGAAUUUUAUUCUGACAUUAAGUUGUCGGUUUAGAAGGCUUGCAUCGUUUACUGUGAAAAAAUUAGAGUGUUUCAAGCAGGCGUUUGCUUUCGAAUACAUUAGCAUGGAAUAAUAAGAUAUGACUAGCGUGGUCUAUUUUGUUGGUUUGCACACGCAAGUAAUGAUUAAUAGGGACAGUUGGGGGUAUUCAUAUUAGCGCGUCAGAGGUGAAAUUCUUGGAUCGCGGUAAGAUGAGCUUAGGCGAAAGCAUUUACCAAGGAUGUUUUCAUUAAU